rnacentral:rRNA from 1 species
UACGGGGGGGGGCAAGCGUUGUUCGGAAUUACUGGGCGUAAAGGGCGCGUAGGCGGCCUGCUAAGUCGGACGUGAAAUCCCUCAGCUUAACUGGGGAACUGCGUCCGAUACUGGAUGGCUUGAGUUUGGGAGAGGGAUGCGGAAUUCCAGGUGUAGCGGUGAAAUGCGUAGAUAUCUGGAGGAACACCGGUGGCGAAGGCGGCAUCCUGGACCAACACUGACACUGAGGAGCGAAAGCCAGGGGAGCAAACGGG